AAGAAGAAAAAUACGCAAAUAUAAAAAUGUGUUUUUGAAUUAACUUCUGAUGACGAAGCUUAUUUGAUAUUAUUCUAAGUAAUAAGCUAUCAGUAAAAAUGGGGAGACGGAAGCAACGCGUUUUGGGCCAGUUAAUGAGACAAAAGAGAUGAUGACUUAUUAAUCAGAAGAUUCGUUUGGUGUAUUUUUAAUUAUUUAAAUUUUUUUUUUUUGCUUUAAAGAUACAUCUCUUAACCUCAGGGAUUAGAAGGCAGAAGUCCAACUGUGCAAGUCCUUUCAUGUCAGUCUCAUGAAAGCAGUUCAUGCUUCAUCUGCGAUACUUUGGACGCUCUUGCAUACACAAAUACACACCAUCUUUGAUCAUCCACACAGAAAGCAGCCUCUUUGAUGUUAUACCCUGACAUGCUACGGCUAUAUAUCGCUCCAUCAUAACCAGGCCAACAUGCAGAAGAUCCUGUUUAAUUUGCAAAAUGCAUGUCUGCAACAGGUACAUCUAAAUAAAUUGGAAUGAUAUAAAAUUCUAUAUUCUUGUCACUCAUUUCAGAAACUGAUGCACUACACAGAGUGAAAUAUUCUGAGCCUUUAUUUCCUGUGAUUUGUAGUCCUUUAGUGGGAUUUAUCUGUGUAAGCCAGAAAAGUUACGAGAAAGUAAUGAAUCUACAGAAUGAGUUUCACUUCCUGAAAAUGUUCAGCGUUGAGUCUCACCAACAAUAUUUAUAUGAUGUUACUCACACUUUGUACACUAGUAAAUGUAGAUUAACCCUCUCUUUCUAUCAGCUCUUAGAAGUUCUUCUUUUCGUGUCAAAGGAAGACAUCAUGACAGCCUGAUUCUGCCACUGCCAUGCUUAACAAUGAGUGGUACAUUUAUAUCUCAAGCUAUAAAUAUCUCAGGUUUAUUUAUAGCUUGAGAUAUUAUUUUAUGGCACUAAUUCAGUUUAAACAUCUCAGAAACUUUCUCUCUAACCCAUCCGGUCUGUCCGUUGGUCUUCAUGACGACGUUUGGGACAUUCACAUCGUAUUAACGCUGUUUUCUCCAAGGCGCCCACUCGGUGUUUACAGACAUCGAGUGGGCGCAGUGUCGUCACUUAGACAACUACCCAUUAAUCUCGUAGAUUUGGAGAUCAAGACUGGUUUGGCAGGAUUAGGAAUAUCUGUGUGACAGCUCGGCUUAAACGGACGUGGCAAAGAGAGACGCUGGGUGUAUUAGGUGGACUACUGCAUGAUAUGGCAGAGAGAAAACCUGGGGAAGAGAGAAGGAUGUGCAGAUGUCUGGUGCGUCGAAGAAAGAUGCAGAGGACAGCCGGAAUAGAAGUCUUCAUAAACCAAUCUCUUGUAUUGAAUUUAUUAUCGACCGUUUUGAUUGAAUUACUCAUGAUUUAAGAAAGCAAUCUGAGGGGAAAUGAGCACGGGGCUCCAGUAAGUUGACAGUGGGGACUGAGUGGUUUUUCAUGCUAAAUAUAAACUGGAAUUUGUUAAGCAGCACACCUCUAAAGUCUCAGGCAUAAAUUCUCGAAAUGUGGCGUUCCGCGUAGUUUUUAUGUUCUGUUCAUUUCAAAUAUCGGGCACUAAAUGUUGCCUGGACUGCAGAGAUGGAGACUCGAGUCAAACAUCAGUCGCAAAAAAAAAGGCUUCAGACUUGACAUGGACUCUGGCACUCUGGUUUCAUAUCCCACAUAAUCAAGAUUGACUUUUACUUUUUGUUUCUGUCGAGUAUCUUUCUGACCAAGAUUCGUAUAUCCUGUAAAACGGAGCGUGUAACAACCGGAGAGGUUUGUGGACCAUCAGCAAUUUUACUUUGUAAAAGCCUUACAUUUUGCUGUGGCAUUUUCAUAAUGACCACCGUCACAAGUGACUUCACAGCCAUUUCAGAGUGAAAUAAAUGUAACUUCACUCAAACAUUUUAACUGUUGCUCUUAAGCUAUUAAGAGAGAUGCAUCUUGUUCUUUAAAAAUAAAAGCAAAUCCUGCUUGAUUCAAUACGAAAUUCAACAAUGACAAGGUUUCUUUCAAUAUAAUUUUACAUUUUAGAAGUGGGAUAAAUACAACCUUACUUAAUUUUCAAAAGUAAUUUACUUUUUUUAUGUUGAACUGAAUGCUCUGAACUCUCCGCCUCCCCCCCAAAAAAUAUUAAAUGUUCAACCUUUUCUACUAGAUACAGUCUCGUAAUAUACAAAAAAGGUGAAGAUGCUCAUGAUGCUGUAUCAUAACUGUAAGGAGAAAUCAAAAGAUAGUAACUUAUUUAAAAAAUGCAAGAAAGAAUAUUAACAGCCUGUCAAUUUAUCUUUUUUUUACAUUUAUUUAUGUUUUGUGCUUUUCUGUACACUUUCCAGAGAAUCUCCCUGCUUUUGGAAAGGUGCAGUCAUGUCUUUUCAAGUGAAUCCGGGGUGUUGGACCUUCUGUGGCCUUAACCAAAAUUUUUUUUUAAGUUCCACAUUAAGGCUUGACGUAUCGCAGCUGCGUUCGAGCUACGAGAGAGACAGAAAGCUGGAUGAGAGACAGGAGAGGAAAGUACCUUAUUCCCCGCUGUUAUAGCUCCAGUGGGAGGCGGACCUACUUCUUUGUGUUCUCCUCCAAGUGAUUCACAUGGCUGGAGGCUUUGCUCUCGGACCUCUGAAACAACACCACCACCACCACCAUCAUCAUCAUCAUCAUCAUGGGAGGGAUGAAAGUACACUGACAAUGUUGGACUAUACCCACAGCUCUGCCCAGAAACCGUGGAGCUGCGUGGCCUGCCCAGUGAUACGCGGAAACAAACAAGGUCCAAGCAAGCAAGGACAAACCAGACGACCUAUGGGGAUGAAGAGAGGGUGAAGCUGGUCUGAAUUCAGCGCGUCGUUUCCGAGGGACACUCUGAACCUCUUGCUGCAGUCUGCAGGGAGUGAGCGGAACCAAAUGUUCCCACAUGAUCGGG